rnacentral:lncRNA from 1 species
AAUUUGCAGACCGGGCCUGGGAGUUAUAGAAAUCACUUCCGAAAUUGGUGGGAGGAAAAAGCGAGGUAUGGAGACACGGGGGCGUAUCCCUCUUCCAGAAUUCACGUUCCUUCCUUUGAUGUCUCAAUACAGAUGAGUCUCUCAAGGAAGGACCCAAGAGAUACUCUCUCCCUACCUCCAUGAGGAAAAUGGAACCCAGGGAGAGCAGCAAGCUGAUAGCAGAAUCAGGAUCACAAUGCAGAUUGCAUUGCUUUGCUUGUGAGGAGACCCCUUCAAGACUGCUGAAAAGAAGCCAUCACAUGCCCUUGGCCAGAAGCCUGGCAUAGUGAAAUUCCGAGAGAUAUCAUACAUCAUGCAACCUCAGAAAAGCUCCACUUACAGGAGAGAAUGAGUCUGAAAAAGAACCAUAACAUGCUGGUAUUGCGGUGAAAAUAGUUUUGACCUCGUGAGCUCACUAAAAGUGUUUCAAGGAUACUUGAGGGUCUCUGGACCACAUUUUGAGAACCACUGGCUAAGUUAAAAUAAUAAAGCAAAAUUCAUUUAUGUAUCCAAACAUUAUAUUUCCAUAUGAGUGCUUUCAUUUAGUCCUCCCAACGAACCAAGGAGGUGAUAUGUUAUAUCCAAUUAC